CCUUAAUCGGAGAGUUCCCUUUGGGGACAUUGGUGACAGGUGGUGCAUGGUUGUCGUCAGCUCGUGUCGUGAGAUGUUGGGUUAAGUCCCGCAACGAGCGUAACCCUUGUCUUUAGUUGCCAUCAUUAAGUUGGGCACUCUAGAGAGACUGCCAGGGAUAACCUGGAGGAAGGUGGGGAUGACGUCAAAUCAUCAUGCCCCUUAUGCUUAGGGCUACACACGUGCUACAAUGGGUAGUACAGAGGGUUGCCAAGCCGUAAGGUGGAGCUAAUCCCUUAAA
rnacentral:rRNA from 1 species